GAAGGAAUUGGGAGGGGGGUCAUUUCAUUUUUGGAUAAAACCGGUAUAGUUCGAAACAAAGAACUAUCGAGGGUUCGAAUCCCUCUCUCUCCU
rnacentral:tRNA from 1 species